UUUGUUAACUGAAGAAUAUAGAGAGCCAAUUGAAAGCAACUCCUGCGUAAUAGCACAAGCACACACACACACACACACACACACACACACUGUACAGCACUCGGCUCGCGGGUAUUGAGAAAACCCUCAGGAGGAGGAACCAACAUUUUUUCAUUUACCCUUAUCAUCACUUCCUUACCAGCGCCAAAGCAAACACGCGCUCCUGAAGGUGUAUGAAACACUAAUCGAGAAACGGGUUCAAUGUUUCGGAUGAAAACGCAGCCUUAGAUUCGCUGGAAAGCUGUCAUUUCGGUUUAUUAGACCGUAGUAGACGAACAUUCAAGAAAUCCAAACAAAGUGCGCACACAUUUCAAAAAUCUGCAGUCAUCAUCACUUUGAAGAAUAAUAAAUAGGCAUCCACAGUGAGUAAAGACUUAUCGUGCAUUGAGUUUGACUAUUGAACGUACCAGUUUCAUCUGUAGAAACGUUUUGCAAUAGAGAUUUGAACACGCUACGCCAUAUGGAGAGAGAACAGUGUUGAACAACUACCGGAUUUUCUUUCGACCUAAAUCAUGGAAAGCUGACGGCGAGGACCUUGAGUGACUGUGUCUUACCAGGGCCUCUAAGACUCCAUAUCAAACUCUUACUUUAUCUGCAAGUGAGUGUUGAUGACAUCUUAGGCAUAGCACAACAUAGCAAUGCAUCGCAAAGCAUAGCAUACCAUAGCAA
rnacentral:lncRNA from 1 species